AUGUUUUUCUUUCCAGUACCAGAUUUAAAGGCCAUGGAUGUAAAGUUUACUGCCCUGGCUUACUGCCAUCUGGCCCUUUUGUUCAGUGUGGCCCAAACAGAAAAUGGGACUAACACUCCUCAACCAACCUUUAGCUUAACGACCCUUACGACACUAACUCAGUCUGACUCUACUUCACCAAUCUCAAAUUUGACUGAGGAGACAAUGCUAUAUACCAGCACACAGUUGGAUAACAAAACUGUCGCUAGCACCACUGCAGCUACAACCGAGAGGACAAGUCACCGCCAGACUUCUCAGUCAGCAACCACCUUGACUCAUCUAACAAACAGUAGAACUCUGAGGACUACAACCUCUAGCACUCAAAUGUCAACAUUUACUGCACAAACAACAGCAGGUAUCCAGACCACAGUAGAUAACUCAAGUACACCAAGUACUCCAGUAAUUACAACUGAAAAUGCAACUCAUGCUACCAUGAACAGAACCAGACAAGAUGUGGGCCUCAAUGUCUCUGAAAGGAAUAUGACUAUUGUCUUCAGCACUGUACUUGGAGCAUUUGCUGUGUUGUUGGUUUUUCUAAUGUUUCACAAAUGCAAACAGAAAAUACAAUACUUGCACCAACCUCUCAAUAAUGCAGAAUACACAGAUACAUUUGUGGCAGAUGAUGACACACUCGUUAUUUCUGGAGGACUUUAUGAUGGCCAUCCAAUCUACGAUAAUGUACCAACAGCUCCUGCAGACCAGUCUCAAUUCCACCUCGAGUUUCUCCAUUAAAGACACAGAGUUUCUAUAGUCUGAAAUCUGCAGUUUAGGAGUGGAUAAAACCAAUGUACUAAACCAAUGUAACCAAUAUACUUUCAAGACGGAAAUAUAACUCCUAUGAUGGUCUUUAUAAGAGAAAAGGGAAAUGAAAAUAG
rnacentral:lncRNA from 1 species